AGAGUUUGAUCAUGGCUCAGGACGAACGCGGGCGGCGUGCUUAACACAUGCAAGUCGAACGGAAAGGCCCCUUCGGGGGUACUCGAGUGGCGAACGGGUGAGUAACACGUGGGUGAUCUGCCCUGCACUUUGGGAUAAGCCUGGGAAACUGGGUCUAAUACCGAAUAGGACCACGCGCUUCAUGGUGUGUGGUGGAAAGCUUUUGCGGUGUGGGAUGGGCCCGCGGCCUAUCAGCUUGUUGGUGGGGUAAUGGCCUACCAAGGCGACGACGGGUAGCCGGCCUGAGAGGGUGACCGGCCACACUGGGACUGAGAUACGGCCCAGACUCCUACGGGAGGCAGCAGUGGGGAAUAUUGCACAAUGGGCGCAAGCCUGAUGCAGCGACGCCGCGUGAGGGAUGACGGCCUUCGGGUUGUAAACCUCUUUCAAUAGGGACGAAGCGCAAGUGACGGUACCUAUAGAAGAAGCACCGGCCAACUACGUGCCAGCAGCCGCGGUAAUACGUAGGGUGCGAGCGUUGUCCGGAAUUACUGGGCGUAAAGAGCUCGUAGGUGGUUUGUCGCGUUGUUCGUGAAAACUCACAGCUUAACUGUGGGCGUGCGGGCGAUACGGGCAGACUAGAGUACUGCAGGGGAGACUGGAAUUCCUGGUGUAGCGGUGGAAUGCGCAGAUAUCAGGAGGAACACCGGUGGCGAAGGCGGGUCUCUGGGCAGUAACUGACGCUGAGGAACGAAAGCGUGGGGAGCGAACAGGAUUAGAUACCCCGGUAGUCC
rnacentral:rRNA from 1 species